UACGGGGGGGGCAAGCGUUGUUCGGAAUUACUGGGCGUAAAGGGCUCGUAGGCGGCCAACUAAGUCAGACGUGAAAUCCCUCGGCUUAACCGGGGAACUGCAUCUGAUACUGGAUGGCUUGAGUUCGGUAGGGGAGUGGGGAAUUCCUGGUGUAGCGGUGAAAUGCGCAGAUAUCAGGAGGAACACCGGUGGCGAAGGCGCCACUCUGGGCCGAAACUGACGCUGAGGAGCGAAAGCGUGGGUAGCAAACAGG
rnacentral:rRNA from 1 species